UACGUAGGUGGCAAGCGUUAUCCGGAAUUAUUGGGCGUAAAGCGCGCGCAGGCGGCUGUUUAAGUCUGGUGUUUAAACCAUGGGCUCAACCUGUGGUCGCACUGGAAACUGGGCAGCUUGAGUGCAGAAGAGGAAAGUGGAAUUCCACGUGUAGCGGUGAAAUGCGUAGAGAUGUGGAGGAACACCAGUGGCGAAGGCGACUUUCUGGGCUGUAACUGACGCUGAGGCGCAAAAGCGUGGGGAGCAAACAGG
rnacentral:rRNA from 1 species